rnacentral:rRNA from 1 species
CAAUAGCGUAUAUUAAAGUUGUUGCAGUUAAAAAGCUCGUAGUUGGAUUUCUGGUAGGAGCGACCGUGCCGAACUUGAUUGUUCGAGUAUUGUGUUGUCUUCAGCCAUCCUCGUGGAGAACUUUUCUAACAUUAACUUGUUGGGAUUGGGACCCGCGUCGUUUACUGUGAAAAAAUUAGAGUGCUUAAAGCAGGCAUUAGCUUGAAUACAUUAGCAUGGAAUAAUAAGAUAGGACUUUGGUACUAUUUUGUUGGUUUGCAUACCAAAUUAAUGAUCAACAGGAACAGUUUGAGGAUAUUCGUAUGAACAUGUCAGAGGUGAAAUUCUUGGAUUUUGAUCAGACGAACUACUGCGAAAGCAUUUAUCAAGGAUGUUUUCAUUAA